AGGAUCUCUUCUGAAGAUCUACUCCAAUGGGGCUUCCUAUGCGAGCCCAGGAUAGAGAACAGCUGGUGAGUUGAAGCAAAGCAUGGUACAUGGGGAUAAUGAGAUGGUGUGUUCUGAAGAGCGUACAAAGGAUAUUCUUGUGAUAUAUGAACAAGAAGCAGAAGAGUGGGCUCUGUAUUUGAAAUCUCUUUUUGGACACGUAGUGAAUGAAGAAGGAAUCUUACUCUACAAUCUAGGGACUUUGUCUUUCAAGCAUCUGGAGUUAUUCUCUUUACGUUGUUACAAAUGUAAACUCCUGAUACUAUCAUAUGGACUCCUUAAAUGCCUGAACCAGGAGAGCUGCUGUUUUCUGGCACACGUUCUUCAACCUCCAGAUAACGUGGUGAUUCUGCUUUGUGGGGUGGAGAAUUCAGAGAUGCUUUAUGAGCAACUAACCUUAAGUGGAAGGAGCAGAGAGAUCUUCGCUGAUCAGGAACCUGAGGACUAUCUCUCCAUUGUUACUGCAAUUAUUCAAACAGAUUGCCAGGCUACCUCUGAUGUUAACUUAUCAGAUGCCAGAGGAGCAUCAGAAAAAGCAGAUCUUGGUUUUGAAACAGAGGUACUUACUGAGACAUUAGAAACUAACCAGGACUCAGUAUUGGUGAUUCCAGCAAGAAUAUCGUGUGAGAACCCUGGUGAAAUAUUCAUUUUGUUGAAAGAUGAAAUAGAUGAUGAAACCUUAGAAAUUGAAUUCAUAGCAGAUAAUCAACGAAUUAGGACACAGCCAGCCUCUUGGAAUAAGAAGGUCAAGUACAUGAAAGCAUUAGAUCUUCCUGCUGGCCCUGUAUAUAUAAAUGUCUACUGUGAGGGUGUCAUUAAGACCACUGCACAGAUUGAAUAUUAUACUGCAGCAGAAGAGAUUGAGCGCAUCUUUCAGAAAGUAGCUGACCCAAUAGCUUUUAUUUGUCAGACUUCUAAGUUUUCAUCUAUGGAGAAGCUGGAUAAUGUUCUGACUUUGUUACUGGAAAACAAGAUAGUUAGUUGUGAAUUCAGCGCAUGCCAAGGUGAAGAGCAGCACCAUCAACAACCUCAUAGCCAUUUGGAAGAAUUUCCCACUCUCCUCCACUGUGCAGCCAGAUUUGGAUUAAAGAACCUCACAGCAGUUCUGCUCAAGCAUCCUGAGGCCACAAGGGCUUGUAAAAUAACCAAUAUAGAUGGAGAUGUUCCAGCAAGUAUAGCUGAGAAACAUGGACACAAGAAAAUAAGAGAAUUAAUCAAAGAAUUGUCGAUUAAAACAACAGAUGAUUUCUCCAGCCAUGAGGAGGAAGAGGAAUAUGAGGAUGCUUACAUGCUUAUGGGAGGCGUGGAAGCUGAAUCAGCCAUAAUUGAGCAGAACCCAGGAGAUCAACAUGGAAUUGGAUCAAAAUGUCAACAAGAAGCUGAGGUGGAAAAGGAAGAAAAAGGUGGUGUAGAAGACAGUGCAGAGGAAACUGAGGAGGAAGAUUCCUACACCUUUGUCAACAGUCCUGACAAUUUGUAUGCCAGCAUACCUGACUGUGAUUAUGAAGAAAACAGCAGAGAAUGCUUUUUCUCCAAGAAACCGCCCCCACCUCCUCCUCGAAAUCUGCCUGGCACCCUGAGACAGGAUGAGCCGCACCAAUUGUCGCAAGAGAGGAAUUCUGUGGAGGAGAGAAGUGAAACAGAACAUGGACUGAACACAGCAUGCUACAGAGAAGACCAAGAUACCAGUGAGGAAGAUGAUGAAGAGGACCACCCAUAUACUUUUGUAGAAUAUGAUGAAUAUCUGUAUGAUUUGAUACUGGAUGAGGAAGAUGAGGAGAGAAGGAAAGAACGCAAAUCAUUUAUCAUGAACAGGCCGCCCGUUCCUGCCCCUCGUCCCGAGCAUUCAGGAGUCAGAAAUGAGAACACUCCGUACAUAGUACAAGUGUUUCAGCAAAAAGCCACUCAAAUGCCCAGCGACUAUGACAAGACAUACUGCGAUGCCAGGAAGCACGCAGCAUGCAGAAAACACACUGACAUGGCAGCUGUGAAACACAACAUCCCUGCUGAAUGUGGAGAUCUUAUCCGUGUCCAGAAACAACUGAAAAAGAGGGCAGUUUAUGUGGACAAAUCCCUUGACAGAUGUAAACAGUGGCAGAAUGAAAAACAGAGACUGCAGCCCACUCCACAGGAUAAAGUGUGCCACCUUAGGGCCACCAGUACAGGGAAGAGACUAGAAAAGGAAAAUCCGAAUGGUAAGUUACACUUUCUUUUGGCUUUCAAAACACCAGAGACUUGUAAUGUUAAUAAGUACACUGCUAAGGUUGGAUGCAAAGCAUUGGCUUCAUAAUGAGCAUAGUCUGCAUCUUUUUACAUCUAAGUGGGUGUAGUGUAGCCAGGACUUACAUGGGGUUGAGAUUGCAACCCAAGAAUAAGCUCAGUGAGAGUUAAUGAGGGAGAAAAUUGAGGAGGUCAUCGCAGCUCAGCUUUUCUGUUGUCAUUAUUUCCUACUGCUUUGUCAGAUUAGAUUAGAUGAUUCCUUUAUGACAAUUUACUUGAUGACUUGGGUAUUUUACUUGUAAAUCAGCUACCAGUUUGCACUUGCAAAUUCUUGAUGAGCUUUCUAUUACCACAGUAGUUCAGAAUUGUGAUUCAAUAAUCAAAAGCUAUACCAUUAGUCAUUUAAAAUGCUUUUUACCUUUGUGAUUCAAUGGUCUUUGCAGCUGAAUAAAUCACCUGUACUUCCUGCAAAUUAUUUUGUUGCUAUGAAAAGAUUGUUUUGGGUGUUACUGGCUUUAGGUCUAUGAUUUCUCUAAACUUCAGUAUAUACAAGUUCUUGAAGAAAAAAUGUAGUGGAUUCUUUUUACGCUGGAUUUAGUAGUACAAUCUUUGCAUUUAAAUUAAUCACAAAAGCUAUUUCUUUUUAGUACAAGAGAGGAAAAAUAAUCCACAGUACUGCUUUGAUGUAUUCUAUUACACAGUGUUAUAUCUACAUAGACUGGACAGCUGAGACGCUGUAAAUAAGAGAAAUUUUUUACUGGCCCUGUGGCAGAGUUGCAGUUCAGACUAUUUCAGCUUGGUAGGGGUGCAGCAGCCUGCAAACAAGUGGGCUGGGUCCUUUCAGCCUUCAUAUGGUGCUCAGAGCUAAAAUCUAUUCUCUGUAGACAAGGCAAAGCUCACUGUGACAUGAGAUCGAAUGUUGGAAAGCACAUGGCUGUAGGCUUUUCUUUUAAGGCCGCAUCAGUCUGGUCGGUGUUGCUGUCCUCUCUCCAGCAUUCAGCUAGUUAGUAAAACAUGCAGGCAGAAAUGUAGUAGCAACACCAGAAUUUAAAAUUUACUGUAACAAUCAGGCUUGUAUUACCCCGUAACUCUGCUAAUGAUCACUAUGUCCCCUCCUGCUCUUAACCUCCUUGCCAUCUUUAUGCUAUUUUAUAUUCUGUGAUGAAUAUAAAGCAGAAAUACAAUGGGAAGAAUCAUUAUGUAGGCCCUGGUUCUGUCCAGCAGUACACUAGCACAGAUUUAAAUCCUUGAAAGUAAGAAUUUUUACCAGAUGAAACUCCAUCUACAGCUGGAGCGUAUUAAUGAUGAGUAAAGAAAGGUGUCAGAAGAAGUAUCAUCUAAAUCCAGAUAUGAAUUGCCUGAAUCAAAGAUAAUUACAUUCUUUUCUCUUUAAUAGUUCUAAGGAAAGUGGAACAGAGAACAUUCACUUGUGAAACUUUUUGUACCAUAUGCCAUUGAAUAAGACAGUGCUAUGACGUUAGCAGUUUUCAGCUUUGUUUAACCGACUCUGGUUUUCACACCUGCAUACAGACUCUCCAGCUGUACCUUGAAAAUCAUGGGCUUUUGCUGCCAUGUUUGAAAUCAGGAUUUGGAUAUCCAUUUUCAUAGGCUGUUUUUGAAGACUUGAUUUGGAAUUUAAACAGAGCAUAUCAAGAACCUGUUAGAAAGGGAAUUUCAUUUUUAAUGAGAAGGAAAUAUACGCUAUAAAUAAGUGAGGAACAUGAUUUUUAGUUUCUUGAUAAGUUUGAUCUUAUUCCACUGUAAUGAAAGUUAUUAAUGAGAACAGCAGUAAGUUCAAUCUUCCAUUAUAGCAUUUGAUGAUAUCUUGAAGUCCAUGUCUCAGUUUGCAACAGUUUAAUAUAGGAUCUAAUAACAUGUACAUUUUAAAAAAAUACAUUUGAAACAAAAAGGAAGUUCUGUCAUACUUGGAGUGCUUUUUCUACAAAAAAAAAACAAAAAAACAAAACCUAUUUUAAGGACAACAAAAUAAGCACCAAGCAUGUAGAAUGUUCAUUUCUGGAAAAGUACAGACACUAAUUAAUCUCAUUACCAUAUACUACAUAUACGGUCUUGCCACAGGCAUUUAAUAUCUUUUUUUUUUUUUCAAUAAGGGAUGUAAGUCAGCUAUCAGCUCUACAAUAAUAAAGCUUUAUUAAAAUUUAAUGAAAAUACAUCCUUGAUCUGGGGACCAAAGCUCCAUUUUCAAAUGUGAGCAGCCAAGAAAAUGGGGGGAGGUAUUUAGGAUUUUCCUUGGCAGUUUUCCUGAAGUGCUGUAGCGCUGAACCAGAAGUAGCCUGUUGCCUAUGGGAAAAUUCAUCCCUAAAUUAGGCUUAGAUCUGAUUUGGAAAGCCAGCAGAGAAGUGAGGCUUCUACAGGCAUUCAGCAUCCCUGUUUUGUAGCACACACCCAUUUUUUAAAAUCCUAUGCAGUGCUUAUCUGCACCUUUUAGGCAUUUGAACUACCUCUAUGAGCAUUGCUUAGCUGUUUCUGAAAACACGAUUUAAAAAUCUGCCUUCUAGUUCAGUUACAUUAUGGCACCUUACAUGCCACAUCCCACAGAUUUUAGUCAUCCAGCAUCUAAAAAUAAGUCUAAGACUGCAAAAACUACAUAAGAUUCUUUAAGAAUUGCCUAUAGUUAGAUAAAAUCUUCAUAGCUGAUCUCUGUGGUACCUGUAACUUGGUCUUGUGUUAGGGAUACAGAGUUUGCACAGUAUUACUGAAUCUCACUAUUGCAUAAGAUUACUCAUCCAAAUAUGGAAUAACUGAUACUCUGCUCCUCAUUUAUCGCAACAAGAACUGAGUAGUAGGUGUUACUGCUGGUAAGAAGCAGGACAGAGGCUGCAGAAGAUGAACUCAGACGGACUUCAGAAGACUAAUACUACAUUAUGCAAAUAUUAACCAUGGAAAAAAAAAAAGCAGUAACUUACAUAAUAGUUUUAAAUGAAGGUAAGUCUCAGGAAGCACAACACAUCAGAUGCUUAGUCCUCCGGUGACACCUACGGGGCAAACAUGCAAUUCAUCCAGCUCCUUGUCAAGACUGGUACAGAAGGGGGUCUGCUGAGGAAGGCAAAGGGCUUUUUCCACAGAAAUUUCACAGGGAGCUGGACUGAAAAAUAUUUAAUAGCUGAGCUGUUAAUCAGUGGGUACUUAGACAACUGGUCAUUAAUAGCAUCUCGCUGUCACUGAAAAUGGCAUUCAUAUCCUAGAAAUAACAACUUCAUCAUCCAUUGCUAUGCAGAGACCCACUCCUCUAAGGCGCUGCAUCCAGCCAGUUAUCACUUCAGUAAAAGCAACCUCCAGCAAAAUUUCUUCCAGAUUGUGAUUUCCAGCUUUUUAGACACCUAUUACAGUAAAGCAGGCAGUAGAGUUCAAUUAAGUUUGCUUAACCAGCUGCCAAAGACCAAAUCUCUUCCUCAGCUUUAUCCAAAAGGCACACACAGAAGAGCACUACUCGACUUUCACAAACUGUCAGCUCAUUGAUUAAGUUUGCUAUCCCCAACACUUGGCUUUGAUCCACAGCCCUCAUCAGCACCUUGCUUUCAGUCCAAGCUGCUAGCAGUCUGCUUAUUCAACAGUUGACUCCACUCCAGCGUGCAGGUGGUGUCUAAGCAGACCUUUCCUGAACCAGCAGCUCAGUUGGAGCCUGUUAACCAAUAGGAAGACAAACAAAGCCUCUCAUUUUGACAUGUGGAUCGCUGAGAACUCAGACUACCUUACCUAAUCCUGUUAGCCCAGUUGAAAUAAUUCAGCACUUUUUCAAGAACCUAUAAACAUUUGUACAUGCGUACACUACACUAGAGGGUGUGGAAGUCAUUAUAAAGAAAACAAGUUUUGUGGUUUUUUUUUUUUUUUACCUAAACAGUACACAUUGCAAUCAGGGCUGCCAGUAUUGCAAACAUAUUUGUUGAAAAUGUACAGUGGUAACUGUUGGAUUUGUGAAGCUACAGCUUUAGCCUGGUUUAUUUCCAGUUUAAGUAUUUUGUAGCUUCACUUAAUGCUUACAGUAUUAAACAUGUAAGCACAUAAGUAAUAACGACAAAGCAAACAUAAAUAACAAAAAUCAUUUUCCUGCCCACCCGUCACCAAAUCAGGCCUUUGUGAGGCAAGCCCACAUUUAAACUGUUGACUGAAGAUUUCAGAGAGACAAGUGACUUUUCUGUGUACCCUUCACAAGUGCACUCCUUGAACCACCCAAAGAGGCUAUCCUUGCUGUUAGAAGUACAAAAGUAUAAAACCCACCUCAUGUCAUUCUCCCACACAACACUCACCUAUUUUUGUGGAUGCUCUAUUACUCCUCUGCUCCCAGGGACACGUGCUUAUAUUUGAAGGAAAACACACAAAAGUGAUUCAUGUACAUAUUUUGUGAAAUAUUAACUUUGAAAGACAUUCUGUACUGGCCUAAUUUAUCUCUGAUACAUACAUGACUAGUCAUUAAUUGCAUCUAUUUCUUUUUAGUGUACAAUUAGGACUCCAGCAGAGAAGGAAGAGAUGCCUAAUUAACUAAGCGCAGCUCUUCAGCCAACUGUGCAUCACUUUCCCCACUCUGGCACGCCGUGUGGCUGCACCUCAAGAGGCUCUGGUGCUGGCACACAGCACAGCAACGCAGCCUCUCUGCACCAUCAGCACUGUGGGAUCCCUCACCUGGGCCAGCUCUGGAAGAAGUUCUCUAUCACUUAAAGCAAAUGAGUACGAUUUCUUAUGAAGUCAGCACUGAAUUUCAGUCUCUCUUUGCCAACUUUUUUGUCCACAUGACAGCUGAAGAAAUAUAUGUAUUUAUAAAUAUAUUGCAUGCUUUGAUUGCUUUCAAACUGCUCAAUUUUUCCAUUGUUAAGUAGAUUUUAUACAUAAAAGAGGAAGAGAAUGAAAAGUUAAAGAUUAUGAUUAUAUAGAGAUUAUAUGCAAAAUUUAGUUUUUA